GAUGAACGCUGGCGGCGUGCCUAAUACAUGCAAGUCGAGCGAACAGAUAAGGAGCUUGCUCCUUUGACGUUAGCGGCGGACAGGUGAGUAACACGUGGGUAACCUACCUAUAAGACUGGGAUAACUUCGGGAAACCGGAGCUAAUACCGGAUAACAUUUGGAACCGCAUGGUUCUAAAGUGAAAGAUGGUUUUGCUAUCACUUAUAGAUGGACCCGCGCCGUAUUAGCUAGUUGGUAAGGUAACGGCUUACCAAGGCAACGAUACGUAGCCGACCUGAGAGGGUGAUCGGCCACACUGGAACUGAGACACGGUCCAGACUCCUACGGGAGGCAGCAGUAGGGAAUCUUCCGCAAUGGGCGAAAGCCUGACGGAGCAACGCCGCGUGAGUGAUGAAGGGUUUCGGCUCGUAAAGCUCUGUUAUUAGGGAAGAACAAAAGUGUAAGUAACUGUGCACGUCUUGACGGUACCUAAUCAGAAAGCCACGGCUAACUACGUG
rnacentral:rRNA from 1 species